GCCUGAGCAGCGUGCUGCUUAGGAAGAGAAGGUCAGAGGUCGCGGGGGCAGAGGCGUUCCUGCCGCUGGCCCAGUGACUAUGUAGUGGAGGGGCAGACACCCUCCCGCAAAUUCUGGAAGGUUCUUAGUCUCGACUAGGGCAGUAGCCCCAGGACUCCUAGUCGCCGGCUUCAGGUCACUGCCGGCUGAACGGAGCUGCCGUCGCCAUGUUUGGCUGCUUGGUGGCAGGGAGGCUGGAGAAGGAAGCCAACAUCCUUUUGGAGCCAUGAAUAUUGUCCGAACUCCAUCUGUUGCUCAGAUUGGAAUUUCAGUGGAAUUAUUGGACAGUAUGGCUCAGCAGACUCCUGUAGGUAAUGCUGCUGUAUCCUCAGUUGACUCAUUCACUCAGUUCACACAAAAGAUGUUGGACAAUUUCUACAAUUUUGCUUCAUCAUUUGCUGUCUCUCAGGCCCAGAUGACACCAAGCCCAUCUGAAAUGUUCAUUCCGGCAAAUGUGGUUCUGAAAUGGUAUGAAAACUUUCAAAGACGACUAGCACAGAACCCUCUCUUUUGGAAAACAUAAUUUGAAUAAAAUAAUUUUUAAUGGAUUCUGAAAUUUGUCAUGUUUUGAAGAUAACUAACUCCAUCUAAAAGUAUGAGGUCAAAGGAUCAUGAAACCUAAGUUUAAAAACUGCUUAGAGACUGAAGCUUAAUUAAAAAUCUUUAUUAAAAAUUA
rnacentral:sRNA from 1 species